rnacentral:rRNA from 1 species
AUGAACGCUGGCGGCGUGCCUAACACAUGCAAGUCGAGCGAAGCGCCUGGAAGUUUUCGGACAGAAGGGUGACUGAGCGGCGGACGGGUGAGUAACGCGUGGGUAAUCUGCCUCAUACAGGGGAAUAACAGCUAGAAAUGGCUGCUAAUGCCGCAUAAGCGCACAGGACCGCAUGGUCUGGUGUGAAAAACUCCGGUGGUAUGAGAUGAACCCGCGUCUGAUUAGUUAGUUGGCAGGGUAACGGCCUACCAAGACGACGAUCAGUAGCCGGCCUGAGAGGGUGGACGGCCACAUUGGGACUGAGACACGGCCCAGACUCCUACGGGAGGCAGCAGUGGGGAAUAUUGCACAAUGGGGGAAACCCUGAUGCAGCAACGCCGCGUGAGUGAAGAAGUAUUUCGGUAUGUAAAGCUCUAUCAGCAGGGAAGAAAAUGACGGUACCUGAGUAAGAAGCCCCGGCUAACUACGUGCCAGCAGCCGCGGUAAUACGUAGGUGACAAGCGUUGUCCGGAUUUACUGGGUGUAAAGGGCGCGUAGGCGGACUGUCAAGUCAGUCGUGAAAUACCGGGGCUUAACCCCGGGGCUGCGAUUGAAACUGACAGCCUUGAGUAUCGGAGAGGAAAGCGGAAUUCCUAGUGUAGCGGUGAAAUGCGUAGAUAUUAGGAGGAACACCAGUGGCGAAGGCGGCUUACUGGACGGUAACUGACGUUGAGGCUCGAAAGCGUGGGGAGCAAACAGGAUUAGAUACCCUGGUAGUCCACGCGGUAAACGAUGAAUGCUAGGUGUUGGGGAGCAGAGCUCUUCGGUGCCGCCGCAAACGCAUUAAGCAUUCCACCUGGGGAGUACGUUCGCAAGAAUGAAACUCAAAGGAAUUGACGGGGGCCCGCACAAGCGGUGGAGUAUGUGGUUUAAUUCGAAGCAACGCGAAGAACCUUACCAAGUCUUGACAUCGAUCUGACAGGGCCGUAAUGGGCCCGUUCCUUCGGGACAGAGAAGACAGGUGGUGCAUGGUUGUCGUCAGCUCGUGUCGUGAGAUGUUGGGUUAAGUCCCGCAACGAGCGCAACCCUUAUCUUCAGUAGCCAGCGGUCCGGCCGGGCACUCUGGAGAGACUGCCAGGGACAACCUGGAGGAAGGUGGGGAUGACGUCAAAUCAUCAUGCCCCUUAUGACUUGGGCUACACACGUGCUACAAUGGCGUAAACAAAGGGAAGCAGCCCUGUGAAGGUGAGCAAAUCCCAAAAAUAACGUCUCAGUUCGGAUUGUAGUCUGCAACUCGACUACAUGAAGCUGGAAUCGCUAGUAAUCGCGAAUCAGCAUGUCGCGGUGAAUACGUUCCCGGGUCUUGUACACACCGCCCGUCACACCAUGGGAGUCGGCAACGCCCGAAGCCAGUGACCCAACCGAAAGGAGGGAGCUGUCGAAGGCGGGGCCGGUAACUGGGGUG